GCCGGGUGUGGUGGCGUGUGCCUGUAAUCCCAGCUACUCAGGAGGCUGAGGCAGGAGAAUCACUUGAACCCAGGAGGUGGAGGUUGCAGUGAGCCGAGAUCAUGCCACUGUACUCCAGCCUGGGCAACAGAGUGAGACUCCGUCUCAA
rnacentral:sRNA from 1 species